ACCGUCUCCCUGUCCCCAGGGUGCCCGGGACCGCGCCAUCCGCGGCUGGUGACACGGGUGUGAGCUUCGCCACCCGUCAGGCAGCACGCCUCACCUGGGCGUGCAGGUCUCCUCGGGCUCCCACCAACCCGUUUCUCACCUCCUCUUUGACCUUUUUUUUUUUUUUUUUUUGUAAGCAAAUCUGACAUUUAUCCCAGUCAAUGGGAACUUGAAGCGGCCUAGCUGUGCUUCACACCAGGGCCCCAGCAUCUUCUCCAGCCUGCGUUUCUUCAUGCCUCAAAUGAAGAUAAUUAAUCAUCCUGGACACCGUGGAGGGAGGGGGUUUGGAGGGUUAAGAGACAAGAUGCGUCCAGAGUUCCUGGCCAGGCCCGGGGAACGCGCUCCCUUGGCCGUGGCUGGUGAGAGGGCCGCUCGGCACAGUGGGUGAGAGCACAGCCCUGGACUCAGCCAGACCCGGGGCAAGGGCCGCCCUGCCCUGUGCGAGGGGUGGGUGCUUGAAGCAUCUCCUGAGUGGGCUGCUCAGAGGGGAGGGGAGGUAACACAGGCGAAGCACUCAGGCCGGGCCGGGCUGAGUUUUCAGUGACGGGAGGGAGCCGUAGAAACAGCAGAAAGGAUGCCAGCAUGUCAGUAAGAUCCGUAUUGGUAGCUCUCGUGGAGUUGAGCAUCAGUGUGGGGAGAUCUUGUUGUGUGAAAGAGGAAGUGGAUGAAUUUCACUCACUGCACGAUGUCACUGCGUUUAGCUUUUUGUGAAACCAGGAUUCUUGUUGUUGGUGAACACACACAUCUGCACAUAAAGAUGUAAGGGUGCACCGGAAGGAUAUGUGACAGACACACUUGUGAGGUGCCUGCCUUUGGGGAGACAACAGAAGACACCUUGGUCUUUAUCCUCUUUUGGUCUUUCAUUAAAGGAAAAAAAAAGAGUCGAAGCAAACAGGGUAUUAGUAGUGUGGCCUAAUAACAAGCGUCCCUUCUGAUGAACGGGAGUACAGGUGUUUGUUUAUAUUCUUUGUUUUUGUCUUUCUGUCUGUGUGUUUAGUUUUCAAGAGAAGAGCAGAAACUGCAUAGAGGGAAGCCAGCCAAGAGGGGUGAGGAAAGUUCCGGGGACAGGGUGGACGUCCGGAAGGACUUGAAGCAGGCAGAGCACAUCAUUAGUGCUGUGCUGGAAGACUGUCCUGGUGAAAGCAUACGUGCUCUACUUGGCCGGCGCUGGGGUGAAUAGAGGGCUUUGGUGAGGGCCUCCUUUAUGGAAAAGGAACAUCACAUCUGCCAAGCUAGCUGUCCUUGCUCUGAAAAAACACAAGAGGAUUUUAACCACCCACCCCUUGGUAUGCUCCAGUGAAGGGCAUAAGAAUGUUUUUCUUAGUUUUUUGACUACAUGGCAGUUCAUUUCUGUUCGCCUUCAGUUUCUCAUGUAAGUCCUAAAUGUGGGCUUUAAUGCUAAUGGGGAAGUUUCGUAGCUCACUGCAAGGAGCCACAUGCUGCCUUAGUACUAAGAAUGAAAGUGUUUUUGCCUUUGUUUGACCUUUAAAGCUGUUAUGACCUAAUUUAGGAAAGUCCUGUACAAUAUAUCUAGGAAUUAAUUUAUUCUUCAUGUUUUAUGUGCCCUAUCUGUGCGUCAAGAUAAAGUGACAGCUGGGUCAUCAGGAUAGAACUGUAGUUCAUUUUCCCCUAGCCUUCAUUUAAAAAAAAAAAAAAAAAAAGAAAAGAAAAAAAAGCUUUUUCUCAAGGAGUGUUGUUAUUUUAGAGAUUUUCAAGCAAGGAACGUUAGAAAGAAAUUAUUCAAAUUAAGUAAAUACUUACAAGACCCACCAUUAUUAUCUGUCUUUUGAAGAGAUGCCCAGGAAAGUCCCCUUUUACCAACUGGAAAAACACUUAGCUUCUAAGAUAAUUAUGAAACAGAAGGGUAUUUGAGUCUGCGAGUUAUUGUGAUUACAGUUUCCCAUGGAUUUUCAUCCAGCUUAUCAAAAAUACUUCCUAUUCUGGGCUCUGGUUUGGGCUGUCUUCUUCCCGUCACUAGUGGGAGAAAUAAAUUCCCCAGUUCUCUUGGCUAGCGAGAGUUCAGAUUUCGUUCUGGCAUGCUGGCGUAAAGCCUCGUGUCUGGACUCUUCGAGUGGCACCGGGGACCCGCGUGCGCCAAGAGGGCACCUUGGGUUGCGAGCCAGAGCUUGUGUACGUGCAUGAGGUCACGCAGCACGGCCCGCCGUGGCCUCCUGUGGGCCAGGGCCCCGUGCUAGGGACUGGUGACAUAGACACACAGCUUUUGCUUUUGCCUUGGGUUUCGUGAGUCAUGCAGACCAGACUCGUGAUUCCAGGAUAAGCCUCCCUUGACGGAAGUAGGGACAGGAAGCCUAGGGAGUGAUGGUUAAGAAGACUUGCAUUUGAGGAUUUCCACUUUUGACCAAGAUAGAGUAACAGGGACCGAUUUACUUUCCUGUCUGAAACAAUUGAAAGACGGACAAAAUAUCUGAAACCCUAGACUUUGGUCAGUGAAGCACAGUGAUACCUUAAGAGACGGGACGGGCAGUGAAGGUUUUUUUCCCCUCCUGACACCAAGUAUGUGUUGUCUUUUCCAGCACCUCCUCUCCAGUUCUCUGGACACCAACUGGAUGUUGGUCAGCUCGGUUCUGACACUGUGUACCGGGAGUUGGGGCCAGAUCUCACGGUUACAGGGUUUCGCCCCACAAGGCUGCCCCCAUUUCGGACGCCAGUCUCAAGUCUGGACCACCUAUACUUCUGACUGACCGGCUAGCAAGCGGGGAGUCCCAUGACCCCUUCCUCAGGUUCAGUAAUUUGCUAGAAUGGCUCACAGAACUCAGGAAAACACUUGACUUACAUUUGCCGGCCUAUUAUAAAGGAUAUAGCUCAGGAACAGCCAAAUGGGAGAGAUGCCUAGGGCAGGGUGGCCUAGGGGGGUGGGAGGGGGGCACGGAAUUUCCACGCCCUUUCUGGGUGCUCUCUCCCGGCACCUUGAUGUGGAUCUCCAAAUGCCAUCAUUUGAGGGUUUUCAUGGAGAUUUCGUUACAGAUGCGUGGUCGAUGAUGAACUGGCCAUCAGUGAUUAGCUCCCUAUCUAGUCCCUCUGUCCUUCCCCGAGAUGGGGAUGAGGCUGAAAGUUCCAGGCUUCCAAUCAAGGCUUGGUCUUUCUGGCAGCCAACUCCCAUCCUGAAGUUCUUUAGGGACCUGCCAAGAGUUGCCUCAUUAGAACAAAACACUUUUGUUACCCUGAUCGCUCAGGAAAUUCCAAGGGUUUUAGGAGUUCUGUGCCAGGAACCAGGGAUGACAACCAAGUAUCUUUUUUAUGCCACAGGCAAGAAGGGAAUGAGCACUACAGUUGCCUCGGCUCACUUCCCUGAGCCCGUUUUCAGGCCACGGGGCGGGGCGGGGGGGCGGAGAACCUGAGCAGAACUAAACAGACUGGCUGAGCUGAGGGGAUGGGGACGGGGGCUCAGGGAGACCAAAGCGCUGGCAGGUCAGAGCGGCAGAGGGGGUGUGCAGAGAGAGCUGGAGGUGGGGGCUGUCAGCUGAGGGCUGAGCUACCCGGUGAGCAGCCUGAGGCUGGGCAGAGAUGUGAUGGGAAGGAUAAAGAGAGGGGCACUGGCGGCAGGGGGGGGGGGGGGGGGGGGGGGGGAGCAGAAUCAGUCAGUUGAGCGGCUGACUCUUGGAUCGGUUUUGGCUCAGGUCGUGAUCUCACUUUUCUAGAAUUCGAGGCCCGCGUCAGGCUCUGUGCUGACGGCUCUGUGCCGUGGAGCCUGCUUGGGGUUCUCUAUCUCCCUCUGUCUCUGCUCCUCUCUCUCUCUCACUCUCUCUCUCAAAAUAAAUAAAAUACAUAAAUAAAUAAAUAAAUAAAUAAAGACUAAGAGUGAAGCAGUGCCUGACGUCCACAGGGCUGGGAAUCAUGCCUGCUCCAGGCACAGCGGCUUCCCUGGGGAGUUCUGCGAAGUGUUUGAGGAAGAGGUGCUGCCAGUUCCACCCACGCGCCUCCAGAAAGUUGAAGACAAGGGAACCCUUCCCAGCUCGCUUUCUGAGGCCUGAAUUAUCCUGAUACCAGAACUAGACAAUGAUGUCGCGAGGAGAGAAAUCCAAAGACCAAGGUCCUUCAUGAAUAUAAAUGCUAAAAUUUUAAACACACGGUUUUAGCAAAUCUAAUCCAGCGAUAUAUAGAAAAGAUGAUACAAUGUGACCAAAGUGGGGUUCAGCCCAAGAAUGCAGGGUUGGUUUAAUAUUUGAAAACCAACCCAUGUAGUUUGCCAUAUUAACAGACUAAAAAAAGAAAAACCAUGUGAUUGUGUCAGUAGUGCAGAAGACACAUUUGACAAAAUCUGAUAUCUAUCUUGGCAUGAUGCCCCAAAAGUUUCUUACAGGAAACUACAGGGGAGAAGCAGAUUUACAGGACAGGCUUAGAGCAGGAGAGAGGAUUCAACAACUCUGCAGAGUUUAAAAACCUCACAUGUGUUCUUGACCAAAAUCCCUUAGCAAAGUAGGAAAAGAAGGAAGGUUCUUUAACCUCCUAAAGGGGUUCUGUGUGCUUCCUUCAGCUUCACAUCACAUCAUACAUACUUCACUGUGAAGACUAAAUACUUUACCCUAAUAUCAGGAGCAAGACAAGAAUGGCCAUUCUAACAAUCUCUCUUCUAGCCAGUGCACUUAGGCAAGAAAAAAGAAGAGGCAUUCAGAUUGGAAGGGAAGAAGUAAAACUGUUGAUUGAAAGACAUGAUCUUCUAUGUAGAAAAUCUGAUGGAUCUUCAAAAAAGCUACUAGAGCUGAUAAGUAGGUUUGGUAAAGUGGCAGGAUACAGGAUCAACAUCCAAAAAUUUGCGGUAUUGCUAUAUGCUUGCAGUGAAUCAUCAGCAAUUGAAAUUUUAGAAAGUACCAUUCAAGAUAGCAUUAAAAAACACAAAAUACUUAGAAAUAAAUGUGACAAAAGUCUGUAAGGCCUGUGCACUGAAAUGCACGAAAUAUUCCUGAGAGAAGUCAAAGAAGAUCUAAAUAAAUGGAGAGACGCACCAUGCUCGUGGGCUGUGAAGCCCAAUACUGUUAAGAUAAUCUGUUCUCCUCAAGAGUUGGUCUGUAGAUUCAACUCAACCCCAGUCACAUCCCAGCAGCACUUUUUUUGUAGAAAUUCACAGACUGAUUCUGAAAUUCACGUAGAAAUGUAAAGACCUAGACAAGCCAAAACAAUUUUGAAAAAGACAAUCAAACUUGGAGGACUAACACUGAUGAAUUAAAGUUAAUUAAGAGUGACUACCUGAUCUUGAGACAUAAUACAUAGCUCCCUAUCAAGACAGUGUGGUAUUGACUUAAAGAUAAACUCGUAGAAGAGAGAGUCUAGAAAUAAACCCACAUGUGGAUGGACAGCUAAGUUUUGACAAAAACGUAAAGGCAGUUCAGUGGAAAUAUUCUUCAAAAAAUGAUGCUGGAAUAAUAAUUGGAUAACCCCAUGUUUUAAUGACUCUCGAGCCAUGCUUUGCACCAUAUACAAAAAUUAACUCAAAAUGUAACAUAGACCACAACGUAAAACCUGAAACCGUAACACUUACAGAAGAAAACGUAGAAGAAAACCUUUGUGACCUUGGGUUCGGCAAAGCUUUCUUGAGUAUAACACAAAGGUAUGAUCCGUAAGAGUACAAGUUGAUAAAUUGGGCUUCAGAAUUAAAAAAUUCUCUUUAAAAUACACUGUUUAGGGAAUAAAAAGACAAGCAAAAUACUGGGAGAAAAUGUUUGCAAAUCACAAUCCAAUAAAGUACUCAUAUCCGGAAUAUAGAGAACUCCCCAAAUCCAACAGUUAGGAAACAUACAACCAAAAAAAAAAAAAAAAAAAAAAAAAAUGAGCAAAAGACUUGAACAGACACUUCGCCGAACAAGUUCUGUAGAUGGCACAUAGGCACGUGAAAAGCGCUCCGCUUCCUGAGGGCAACGCAAAAUGAAGCCACAGUGAGAUAUACUACACGCCUGUUAGGCCAAAAUUGAAAAGAUUGCGGACUGAGUAGUGACGAGAAAAUGAAGGAACUGGAACUCUCUCUGUUGGAAUCUAAAAUGAGUAGAGCCAUUUUGAAAAAACGCAGGCACUUUUAUGACACAGCCAUUUCUGUUUCAAGUAUUUGUUUUUAGACUCAAGAGAAGCGAAGAUACAUGUCCCUACAAAGGCUUGUGUGUAAAUAUUCAGAGUAGUUUUGCUCGUAAUGGCCACAGAGUGGAAACCUGGCCAUCCAUCAACAGGAGAGCCUGUAAAUGGGCUCUGGUAUGAUCUGUCUCCUGGAAUAUACUACCUGGUAGGAAAAAGGAACGAGCUGUUGCUACAUGCGCCUGUAUGAAUGAAUCUCAGAGUGAUUAUGCCGAGUGGAAGAAGCAGGGGAAGAGAUUACGUGUUGUAGCAGGACUCCAUUUACGUGCAAUCCUAGACAGUGUGUACCUGGGUGAAGUGACAGGAAGGCCACUGGUUUCCUGGUGAUGGUGUAGGGGAGGGUUGUGAGGGGUGAGAGAGAGAGAUUACGAGAGUUUGAGGGAACUUUUGGGGGGUGAUGGAUCUAUGUAUUGUCUUGAUUGUAGCGAUGGUUUCUAGGGUGUGUACAUGUGUCAGAACUUACUAACUUGUGUCUUUAAAGAGGUACGGUUCACUGUAUGUCAGUUCUGUCUCUCCAAAGCAAUUUUUUUU